rnacentral:antisense_RNA from 1 species
UUUUAUGGUGGCUCGGAGGGAGAGCCGCAAGGCUCGCCGGUUUUGCCGCAGGGUUGCCCGGUACGCCAAUCCCUUCGAGUCACCGCCCUU